CCGGCCCCUAGAGGCCUUGCGGGUGUGGCUGCUGUGUCACCUGUGUGUCAGCAGAGGUCCUGAGGAAGGAGGCUACAUCCAUGCUCCGUGUUCUACUUGUGAAUAAUCAGUAGCCUAACUAA
rnacentral:snoRNA from 1 species